rnacentral:ribozyme from 16 species
UGCUUCUUUUUCUUUUUCUUCUUUUGUGUUAUUCUUUUUCUUGUGUUGUGUUUCCCAAAAUGGAUGCACUGAACAUGAAAAAAAAGGAAUGAAA